rnacentral:lncRNA from 12 species
CCCCCCCCCCCCCCCCCCCCCCCCCCCCCCCCCCCCCCCCCUUUUGGGGUCCCACCUGUGGGUGGGGCUGAGCAGGGCCAGGGCGGCCAGCGGAGUUUUUUGGGAGGAUUUGGGGUCCCACCUGUGAGUUUUGGGGUUCCCCCCCUGGAUUUUGGGGUCCCCCCAGAGGAUUUUGGGGUCCCUCCAGGUUUUGGGGUUCCAGGUUUGCGAAGAGCAGGGCCAGAGUGGCCAGGUGAAUUUUUGUGGGGAUCCCUGGGGAUUUCGGGGUCCCCCUGGGGAUUUCCCCCCCCCCCCCCCCCCCCCCCCCCCCCUGGGGAUGUUGGGGUCCCCCUGGGGAUUUCGGGGUCCCCCAGGAUUUCGGGGUCCCCCAGGGUUUUGGGGUCCCACCUGUGGAUGGCGAAGAGCAGCGCCAGCGCAGCCACGGUUUUCUCGCCCCCGGACAGGUUGUCCAUGGGCCGGAAUCGCUUCCCGGGGGCGACGCAGUUGUAAUUGAUCCCGUCCAGGUACGGCUCCUCGGGGUUCUCGGGGCCUAAAAACGCCUGACAGACAGGUGUGAGACAGGUGUGAGACAGGUGAGAGACAGGUGAGACACAGGUGUGAGACAGGUGAGACAGGUGUGAGACAGGUGAGAGACAGGUGUGAGACAGGUGUGAGACAGGUGUGAGACAGGUGUGAGACAGGUGUGAGACAGUGACAGUUACACAGGUGUGAGACGGCAGUGCCUGGGAACAGGGGUGCACAGGUGAAAGUGACCUGGUGACACAGGUGUGACACAGGGACAGUGACACAGGUGUGACACAGGUGAGGCUCCUCAGGGUUCUUGGGCCCAGGAACGCGUGGGAAUGGGGAGGGGCAGUCCUGUGCCAGCCUUGCACAGGUGUGCGACACCUGUACAGGUGUGCCAGUCUCACACAGGUGUGCCCCAUACAGGUGUGUGCCCCAUACAGGUGUGUGCCCCACACAGGUGUGCCAGUCUCACACAGGUGUGUAACACCUGUGCAGGUGUGUGCCAGUCUCACCUGCCCAGGUGUGCCAGUUUCACCUGGGCGCUGCUGUUGCAGGACAGCCCCAUACAGGUGUGUGCCAGUCUCACCUGCCCAGGUGUGUCAGUCUCACCUGGGCGCUGCUGUUGCGCGACAGCGCUUUGUAGAUCUCGUCGAUGUUGGUGGCCACGGCCUCGAAGCAGGAGUUGAAGCGGUCGAAUCGCUCCUUCUUCAUCUGCUCAAACGCCUGCUUGGCCUUCUUGGCGCGCUUGCGAGCGGCCUCGAACUCUGCACAGAGGGGACAGAGGGGACAGAGGGGACAGAGGGGACAGAGGGGACGUCACGGACAGCCGGGGACAGCCAGGGACAGCCAUGGGGACAGCCAUGGGGACAGCCAGGGACAGCCAGGGGGACACUGGGGACAGCCAGGGGACACUGGGGACAUCACGGACAGCCAGGGAUAGCCAUGGGGACACUGGGGACAUUGGGGACAGCCAGGGAUAGCCAUGGGGACACUGGGGACAUCACACACAGCCAUGGAGACACUGGGGACAGCCAGGGACAUUGGGGACAUCACAGAUACCCAGGGACAGCCAUGGGGACAUUGGGGACAUCACAGACACCCAUGGGACACUGGUGACACCCAUGGGACACUGGUGACACCCAUGGGACACUGGGGACAGCCAUGGGGACACCAGGGGACACCAGGGGACACCUGUCCAUCCCCCCCCAUGUCAGGGUUUUUGGGGCUCUCUCCUGGGUUUUGGGGUCCCCACAGUGGAGGGGCUGGGGAGGGGGGUCUGUGCUGAACACCUGUGGCUGUCCCCACAGCUGGCUGUCCCCACAGCUGGCUGUCCCCACCCCCGAGUGUCCCCACACCCAGGUGUCCCCACAGCUGGCUGUCCCCACACCCGAGUGUCCCCACACCCGAGUGUCCCCACACCCAGGUGUCCCCACAGCUGGCUGUCCCCACACCCGAGUGUCCCCACACCCGAGUGUCCCCACACCCAGGUGUCCCCACAGCUGGCUGUCCCCACACCCGAGUGUCCCCACACCCGAGUGUCCCCACACCCAGGUGUCCCCA